CCUACGGGUGGCAGCAGUGGGGAAUAUUGCACAAUGGGGGAAACCCUGAUGCAGCGACGCCGCGUGAGUGAAGAAGUAUUUCGGUAUGUAAAGCUCUAUCAGCAGGGAAGAAAAUGACGGUACCUGAUGAAGAAGCCCCGGCUAACGACGUGCCAGCAGCCGCGGUAAGACGGAGGGGGCAAGCGUUAUCCGGAUUUACUGGGUGUAAGGGGAGCGUAGACGGCAGCACAAGUCUGGAGUGAAAUGCCGGGGCUUAACCCCGGAACCGCUUUGGAAACUGGGCAGCUAGAGUGCAGGAGAGGUAAGUGGCAUUCCUAGUGUAGCGGUGAAAUGCGUCGAUAUUAGGAGGAACACCAGUGGCGAGGGCGGCUUACUGGACUGUAACUGACGUUGCGGCUCGAACGCGUGGGGAGCAAACAGGAUUAGAUACCCUAGUAGUC
rnacentral:rRNA from 1 species